CCCCCCCCCCCCAAAAAAAAAAAAGAGAGAUCAAAUAAAAAGGAGCUGAUGAGCAGACAGGAGCAGACUCAUAGCAGAGAUCUUGAAGUUAAUUUUACAUUCAGCAAUCUGAAUCUAUGAUGAGCCCCAUAGCAAUCAGUACAAUAAAACAAUUGAAGAGACAGCAUAUGUCAAAAAAGAAAUUCAUUAGAAAUCAACUUUGUUGUCAUGCUAUACAAAAAAAACAACCCAGCAGUUUUUAUGGCACUGUACCUUUCCUCAUGUUUGUGAACAUUAACAUUCAAAGGAAAAGUAUUUAAUGGGUCAUGAUGGGACUUAAACUACAAUCUGAUAAAGCAUUCACAGUUGAAACCCAAUAUCUGUGUUCUAGCUUAUUAAUUGCUUCACCCACUCGUCGGAGGGAUUUAAAACAAGGACACAGCUCAGAUUCCCUUAAUGGCAUGGAAGCACGACCCUCCCCUGUGAUUACGUCUGCUGGUCAAAUGAGAUCAAAAUGUUUUAAAGCGCAUGCAUCAGCCGAUUAGAGUACAGAGGCAUUACAGGAGGCUUUAUACUUUUAGCAAACACAAUCACCAUUUACUAAAAGUAAAAAUAUGAAAACAAUCACAGCGCAGUUUUUGAAUGACAGCUAUUUACUUUGAACCACAAAAACUUUUUGCAAGGUACACUAGCAGCUUGUUUCUGUCUUGCACAUUUACACUGCAGUUUAUUUAGUCACAAAGGUUGAUUACACACCUUUCAAACACUUUAACUAACUACUUCAUUGUCAAAAACAACAGGUUCCUAUAGUAACAGCAACAUCUUUGUUUGACAUCAACAUAGUACUGGCAAUAUAAGGCUCUAACUUUAAUUUUAACAUUAAAGGAAAUCAUAAAUAUAUGGUUUAAAACUGGACUGGUGAGAUUGUCAAAAUGUUUGUGAUGAGCUCAACUGAAGACCCCAAGUGAACCAGAGCAGAGGUGGUGAUUGACCAGCCCUUUCCCUGUAUGACCCCCCUAUGGCUGCUGUUGCAUCUGCACUGGUAUUGUUUUAGCUCAGACUAAAUGCAUACAUAGCAGAUUAGCAGGACAACACAGUUUCUGGUCAGCCCUUCUUUUCUCUCUUUGCUUUUGACUCAUCUGAACUCCCAGAAAAUGUGAAUAUUUGCAGGUCCAAAGACGCCUUAAGUUUAGGGGGGGAAAUGACACUCUUACAGUUACAAAUAGUAUCUAUGUGAAUUUAUUGGCUACAUUUUAAUAUCAUGUAGAGAAUUUCUAUGUUUAUUAAGAGAACCACUGCCUGUAGUUGUAACCUCUUAACAUUAACAAGACUACGCAUGAAUAUAUAUAACCUAGAUGUCUACUUUUUUUUAGUCAUACUUUCAAAUGAGCCAAAGCAUUUAACCUAAACAUACAUUUGUUUAGGACAAUGUUAUCUUUACUUUAAAAUAUCUGUUUAAGUGAUUUUAGUCCAAGUCCAAGUUAUUAUUAUUUUUAACUUUUGGGGUUUAAUAUAAGGCAUCUUCUUACCUGUAAAUCACCAGAAUGAUAUUUAUGGUGUAAAUUCAAACAGCCGAUAUGGAAAACAGCUCAAACUAUGAUAACAUGCUGAACUGAGGAGAUGUGGUUUUCUUUUGUUAUCGGUCAUAAAUAAUGUGUGACAUACUUAGCAAAAAUGCAUUAUGCUAAUCAAAGAAUUUAAUCAGUUUUUGAGUUUUAAAGGUCGUGUCUGUCUUUCAUAUUUAAUAGAUAAGAGUUUAUCUCCUGUAAUGAAGAAAACUGUCUUAUUUUUUGCAAAUCCCCCAACAACAAAUCAAAAAGAAAAAUCAUUAACCCCUUUCUUUACUGGCUCAUGAGAACUUUUUCUCAUAUUUCUGCCAUUAAGCAAAAAAAAAAAAAAAAAACAGAAAAAAAAACAACAACCCCAAAACGGCCCACUAAAUUAACCAUUUAUUAGUGUGUAGACGUGAUGUUGUGCUGCACUGUACAAUGGCCGCUAUAUUUAGAAGCCAUUAUACUGUAGCACUGCUUUACUGACAACACUAACUGGUCAUGUUCUCUGUGUCUCCUUAAACAUGCUUUAAGGACUUUGAAGGCCUCCGGGGUUAAAAUUAGUGUGAAGCAUUGUAAAAGCACUUUGUAAAACCCUUUACUUUGCAGUUUAGUUUUUCAAAAAGAAAAGACAAAUCUCCUUUUAUUUGAACUCAUCAACAGAAGUCAAAAUACUUAUUUUGUGCUUAAAGGCACUUUAGGAGACACAAAGUAGAGUCAAACAUGGGGUUUUAGAGGAUAGCUGAGUCAGACCAAAAGGAAAAAUCUGCAGUGACAUCAGUUGCAAUGCAAACUUGAGCAUCGCAAACAGAUACGGCCGUGCAAAUACUCAC
ensembl:lncRNA